rnacentral:tRNA from 1 species
GGAGGAUUAGCUUCAGCUGGGGAAGCACCUGCCUUACAAGCAGGGGUCGGCGGUUCAUCCCGUCAUCCUCCACCA